AACGAACGCUGGCGGCAGGCUUAACACAUGCAAGUCGAACGCCCCGCCCGGGGAGUGGCAGACGGGUGAGUAACGCGUGGGCUCAUACCCUUUUCUACGGAAUAGCUCUGGGAAAGUGGAAUUAAUACCGUAUACGCCCUAAGGGGGGAAGAUUUAUCGGGGAAGGAUUGGCCCGCGUUGGAUUAGCUAGUUGGUGGGGUAAAGGCCUACCAAGGCGACGAUUCAUAGCUGUUCUGGGAGGAUGAUCAGCCACAUUGGGACUGAGACACGGCCCAAACUCCUACGGAAGGCAGCAGUGGGGAAUAUUGGACGAUGAGCGCAAGCCUGAUCCAGCCAUGCCGCGUGAGUGAUGAAGGCCUUAGGGUUGUAAAGCUCUUUCACCGAUGAAGAUAAUGACGGUAGUCGGAGAAGAAGCCCCGGCUAACUUCGUG
rnacentral:rRNA from 1 species